CUCUAAGGACAUCUCUCUCUCUCUCUCUCUCUCUCUCUCUCUCUCUCUCUUUUGGUUUUUUGAGACAGGAUCUCACUAUGUAGUUCAAGCUGGCCACAAACUCCUGAUGAUCCUUCUGCCUCAGCCUCCAGAGUACUGGGACUACAGGCGUGUGCCACCCAGCUCUUUACUACCUCUAACCGCCGAAACUACAUGACCCUGUGCCCCAGGCUCCUGCAGCACCAGCCUAAAGCAGACAGGCUGGCCUCGAACUCACUAUAGAGACCCUCCUGUAUCAGCCUCUCAAGUCCUGGGAUUGCAGGCGUGCGCCACCAUCAAGCCCACUUCUAACCAGACCCUUCUACAUCUGUGUUCUGCUGUGGGAACAAGUUACUGAAAGCACAUGUGUUGCCCUGAUUGCCGUCCGGAGCUCCAGUAUGGAGGAUUAGUGGCUGACCGGCCGCACCAAAGCUGCCUGGGAAAUCCCGGUCCUCGCGCCUGGAGGACUGAGACCUGGCCUCCCUGGUUAGCUCCUUGAGGCCACUUCUGUGCUUGCACGCAGCCACCUGCUCUCAGAAGCAGCAGUGGUUCAUCAAAUCCCUCUCGCUCAGGAUUCCUCUAACACCUUCCCAGCACACACGCAUACACAGCCAAAGAGUUGUGAAGCUGGGGUUCGAAUCCCUAUGCCCCAGGGCCCACGGGGAAGGGCCAGUCACCGCAGGUGUGGAUGAGCUGAUUCCUCAGCCUUUUUACCAACAGCCAAGGAAUGUGGGAAAGACGGAGUUUAUUCGGAUCAGAGUACAGAUCCAGAGGGAUGGCGCAGGUCUGCAAGGGGAGUGGGAACAAUUUAUUGAGAAAAAGCUUCUGUCUAAGAGAGGCAGAAGGGGGACAGCAAAGUACAUUGGCUGGGUCGGACACUGUCAAGGCCAACUGGCAAGGCCUUUCACUCGGGCCUCACAAAAGGCUCCUCAGACUCAGUUAACAUCAGUGCUGUGCCUCGCGACCGCCCUAGUGCCGGGCCAGGGCUGCGUCACCAGAGCAAUGCCGAGACCUAACCCUUUUGUCAACAAACCUGCCUCAAUCUUCUGACGGAGCCAGCGGUCACUAGUCGAACAGUACCUGAGGAGAGGGGUGAGGAUUAAGAAAAACAACACAAAUUCGGGAGAAAAGAAAAGCAGAGGAGAGAGCAAGGGCCUUCUCCUUCCCACUUUAUUGAGCCUUUUAUAUAUCCUCCUUCAUUACCCACAGCCUCCCUCCCUUCCUCCCCUCAUGAUCUCGUGACUAAUUAUUUUUACAGAGAAAAGGUCAAAUAUAUCUUUACAAUUCCGGGAAUGUUACUUUCUCGUCCAGCAGACAUUCAAAUCCUUUCUAUAUUCGUUGUUUUCUUUAAAAGUCAACAUCCUUGUUUUUGUACCAGUUUCAUAUCCUGGCUCAUUAUGUUCUUAUCUGACUCAAGAAUCUCAAGGGGUUUAGGAGUCUUUCCAGGGUAGUUUCAACCCUUCGCUCUCCACAAUCUUCCCUGCACCCAACUUCACUAUUCACUACCGACAGGGCCACUGCAGGGGGGGAGGCGAUAGCCACCUCCCAGCUGUUCCCUGAUUUGCAAAAGACUACCAGCCAGCUUCCCUUCCUGCUGGGAGGCCAGCACCAAAUCCCGGUUCUAACUCCCACUCGCGACCCUCAGCUAGUUCAAAGUUAGGGAGCCGCGGUGUCAAGCCCCGCACCCCAGCCUCGGGACCCUCAGCAUGGGGAAGGGAGGGGACACGAGCGCGCCACCACGCCUGCGCGACCCCGAGCCCGCUCCACGAGGGGCGUGGCGGUAAAGAAAGGGACGUGACUGCGAGGGUCUGACCUAUCAGAAGAGGCGCUGGAGCCCUGCGGGCGUGGCCUUCGCGGUUUCCCCGGAAACGCCCGGAGCGUGAAGUUGCGUAGAGACCGAGCAGAGCCUAGAAGAAAGCAGGGAAGGACGCAGGCGGAACGAGGCGGGGACAGAGGGAGGCGGCAGAGUCGCGGCCAGUAUAGGGACAAGGGGCUGGCGGUUUCUCCUUUCCCUGCGUAGUUCAGGAGAGCAUGAUCUGCGGUGGAGCCCGGGGACCGGCAUCUUUCUGGGAAGACACUCAGGGGAAGACAUCCGUGUGACCACACAAGCAGCAGCCACACUGCUGCAGCUGCAAGCCACGGAAGGCCAGGCACUUGACAGCCACCAGAAGCUGGAGAUGGAGGCCCCAGGGGAACCAACCAGCUCAGCACAGUGCCUGCUGUCUGCCACAAGCACCAGAAAGCCGUUAUCCUCACCCGCAUGGUUGCAACAUAGCUGCUGCUUCUCUGGACAUCACUUCCAGGGUUCAGGAAGGAAGAGGAGAUGGACUGAAGGGCUUAUUGCAUUCCAAAAGGCCAACCCCCUGCACACCCAGGGAAAUAGCAUCUGUCUGGGACUGUGGUGCAGAGGCCCCUGGCUGCAAGGGGCUGGGUGAUGGCCCCAGGGCUCCCAGCUGGGAAGUCGUCAUCCUGCUUGGCUCUGGGAAACUGGUUUUCUCAACUCUCACAGCCUCCGCCCUGGUCAAAUAUUUGCCUGAGGUAUUAUCAAGGAGGAAGCUGGUUCACUCAGGACGUGUUUAGGCAGCACCAUAUGGGGAGCAGGAGCCACGGAGCCUGGUUACUGCUUCCUUGCUCUGAGCCUGGGUUUCCCCGCUGCAGGCAUGGGGGCUGUGGACGGUGGCAGGGGAGUCCGCUCUUCCUCCUUCACUUCCUGCCCCUGUCCAGACCCCGCCCCUCCCAGCUGUUCCCCAGGCUGGGCAGCUCAGGACCCCUGAAGCAGGUGUGGCCAGGGCCUCCCUGUCUCCUGCCUGGGCUCCUCAUCUAUCAGCCACACCAGCUGCAGAGAGGGCCUCCAAAGGGCAAACCCUGCCUCGCAUGGUGGCGCACGCUUGUAGUCCCAGCACCCAGGAGGCUGAGGCAGGAGGAUCACUGAGAGUUCUAGGC
ensembl:lncRNA